rnacentral:rRNA from 1 species
UACAGAGGUCUCAAGCGUUGUUCGGAUUCAUUGGGCGUAAAGGGUGCGUAGGUGGCGCUGUAAGUCGGGUGUGAAAUCUCGGGCUUAACUCCGAAACUGCAUUCGAUACUGCCGUGCUUGAGGACUGGAGAGGAGACUGGAAUUUACGGUGUAGCGGUGAAAUGCGUAGAUAUCGUAAGGAAGACCAGUGGCGAAGGCGGGUCUCUGGACAGUUCCUGACGCUGAGGCACGAAGGCCCAGGGGAGCAAACGGG